rnacentral:tRNA from 1 species
GUUAUUUAAAUAGUUUAUUUAAAAUAUUAAUUUGUGGAAUUAAAGAUUAUAUUUUUAUAUUUAA